GAAUUGUUCAAUCUCACGCAUCAUGCGAACAUCGUCGUUGGUAACAAAGUUAAUGGAAACACCCUUACGACCGAAACGACCACCACGACCAAUACGGUGAAUGUAGUUUUCUCUGUUAGCAGGUAAGUCAUAGUUGAUAACCAAGGAGACUUGUUGGACAUCGAUACCACGAGCAAGAAGAUCGGUGGUGAUAAGAAUACGAGAAGAACCAGUACGGAACUCAUGCAUC